rnacentral:rRNA from 1 species
AGGGGGCUAGCGUUGCUCGGAAUGACUGGGCGUAAGGGGCGCGUAGGCGGUUUGGCCAGUCAGAUGUGAAAUUCCUGGGCUCAACCUGGGGGCUGCAUUUGAUACUUUCGGACUAGAGUGGGGAAGAGGGUCGUGGAAUUCCCAGUGUAGAGGUGAAAUUCGUAGAUAUUGGGAAGAACACCGGUGGCGAAGGCGGCGACCUGGUCCUUGACUGACGCUGAGGCGCGAAAGCGUGGGGAGCAAACAGG